rnacentral:miRNA from 1 species
UUGGACGAUGUAGUUGUGAAAC